AUGUCCACAUCCUCAUUCCUGGAAUCUGUGAGUAUAGCAAAAUGGACUUUGUAGCUGUAAUUAAGGUUACAAACCUUAAAAUAGGGCGAGCAGCUUUAAGUAUCCAGGUGAACCCAAUCUAAUCAUGUGAACCUUUAAGAGCAGAGAACAUUCCUCAGCUGGAGAAAAAGAGGCUUGGCAGAGGGAGAAAUUAGAAAGAUUCCACCUGAGAAAGUUCGGAGGCGUCAUUGCUGGUUUUGCGAUGUAGAGGCUCACAUAGGAAGUCUGUAGACAGGUUACUAGGAGCUGACACCAGCAACCACCAGUUGACACAGGCAAGAAAACAAUGACCUACAACUGUACAAGAACUUCCCAAUAAGAUCCCUGUUGAUUGUCACCUUCCUUUGGACCUUGCUGGACGUUGAACCAGGGGAGCUGGUUGAGCCCACUCAGACUUCGGACCUACAGAAGUGUGAGUCCGUUUUUGCACUGCUAUCAAGAACUGCCUGAGACUGGGUAGUUUAUAACGGAAAGAGGUUUAAUGACUCACAGUUCCGCACGGCUGGGGAGGCCUCAGGAAGCUGACAAUCACGGCCGAAGGCAAAGGAGAAGCAGG
rnacentral:lncRNA from 10 species